CCGCGAGAGGGAGGAUGCCUCUUGGGUUGUAAACCUCUUUUCUCUGGGAAGAAUAUCUGACGGUACCAGAGGAAUAAGCAUCGGCUAAUUCCGUGCCAGCAGCCGCGGUAAUACGGAGGAUGCAAGCGUUAUCCGGAAUUAUUGGGCGUAAAGCGUCCGCAGGUGGCCGUUCAAGUCUGCCGUUAAAACCAGUAGCUUAACUACUGAGAGGCGGUGGAAACUGAAUAGCUAGAGUGUGGUAGGGGCAGAGGGAAUUCCCGGUGUACCGGUGAAAUGCGUAGAUAUCGGGGAAGAACACCAGUGGCGAAGGCGCUCUGCUGGACCACAACUGACACUCACAGGACGAAAGCUAGGGGAGCGAAAGGGAUUAUAUACCCCUGUAGU
rnacentral:rRNA from 1 species